rnacentral:rRNA from 1 species
UACGUAGGGUGCAAGCGUUGUCCGGAAUUAUUGGGCGUAAAGAGCGUGUAGGCGGUCCGGUAAGUCCGCUGUGAAAGUCGGGGGCUCAACCCUCGAAUGCCGGUGGAUACUGUCGGGCUAGAGUGCGGAAGAGGCGAGUGGAAUUCCCGGUGUAGCGGUGAAAUGCGCAGAUAUCGGGAAGAACACCGGUGGCGAAGGCGGGUCUCUGGGCCGAUACUGACGCUGAGGAGCGAAAGCGUGGGGAGCGAACAGG